rnacentral:rRNA from 1 species
AUUGAACGCUGGCGGAAUGCUUUACACAUGCAAGUCGAACGGUAGAGGGGGCAACCCCUCGAGAGUGGCGAACGGGUGAGUAAUAUAUCGGAACGUGCCCAGUCGUGGGGGAUAACGUAGCGAAAGUUACGCUAAUACCGCAUACGAUCUACGGAUGAAAGCGGGGGAUCGCAAGACCUCGCGCGAUUGGAGCGGCCGAUAUCAGAUUAGGUAGUUGGUGGGGUAAAGGCUCACCAAGCCAACGAUCUGUAGCUGGUCUGAGAGGACGACCAGCCACACUGGAACUGAGACACGGUCCAGACUCCUACGGGAGGCAGCAGUGGGGAAUUUUGGACAAUGGGCGCAAGCCUGAUCCAGCAAUGCCGCGUGCAGGAAGAAGGCC